UUGUCCAGGGAGCCCCCUAGAAGACUCCAUGCUGGUUCUUGGUUGCUUUCCUUGGAUGAUUCAGUAGUUGCAAGAACUUGAUGCUGGUAUUAACUGUCAGAUAACCUCAUUGGAUCACCAUUCUCAGUUGACCCCAGGCUUUCUUUUACUGAAUUGAGAGACCAGGAAGCAAGAUGCCUGUUCUUUUGCAGUCAGGGGAGCUAGGGUUCUGCCAACUCCUGGAAACCAUGCCCUGGAUUUUCUUCUGAUCUUGAACUGACUUGUACUUGGGUGCCAUUUUUGGUGUCUUCCUCUGGUUUAAGGAGGUGGAGUGUUGCUGCCAAAUUAGAUUAACCAGACUGGGCUUGUUGUCCCUGCAGACUUGAGGCUGGAGGAGGAAGGGGGUGGCCUGCAGUGUUUGCUGGCCCCACUCCUGUUCCUCGCAGGCAUCUGGUCCUGACCUCUGCACAUGCACACGUGCAUUGGGAAGUCUAGUCAUUGGUCCUGAAGAAACCAGGGCACCUCAACCUCCCCAUCCUGUACUGUCUGUCAUGCAAUGCCUUUUGGGGAUUCUUCUCCUCUUUCCUUAAGUCUCUGGUCAUGCUCUCCUCAUUUUGCAGGGCAUUUUCUCUGAAGGCUCCCUGAGAAAGGAUCUGCUUUGAGCUCUGAGCCUGUGAAAAUGAUGGAGUACAGAAUUUCAGGGACAAAUGUGUCCCACAGGCCACAUGGCCUGAGCAUCUUCUGCUUGUCUUCAGGGGUGUGACCCCUGGGCACCUCCGUCUGACUGCUUUUGGGCCUGGACUUGCCUGGAGUCUCCUGCUUCUGCUUCCUGUGCUCACUGCACCUGCCCCACUGCAGGCCUCCGGUGCUCUCCCUCUCUUUCACUUAUGCAUCCUUUUGCUUUGGGGUGGUGCCUAGGCCCCACCUUCGUGUUUUUUGCUUCCGGGAGCUCUCUGGUGCUCUGAGGAGCUCUUCUUUCCCAGCCCACACUCCACAGGAGUGGCAUCUUCUGGCCCACUUGUCAGUGUAGUCCGCUCCAGGGUGAGGAGGAUGCCCUUCUGGUAGAUGUGUGGCUUGUUUCUGAUUGGGCAAACUUCAAAUUCAGAAUCUUUUUUUUUUUUUUUUUUGUACUAGGGAUUGAACCUGGGGUUGCUCUACCACUGAGCUAUAUGCAUACCUUUUAGUUUUUAUUUUGAGACAGGGUCUUGCUAAGUUGCCCAGGCUGGCCUAGAACUUGUGAUCCUCCUGCCUCAGCCUCCUGAGUUAUUAGGAUUGUAGACAUGCACUACCUGCCCAGCAAAUUUCAGAAUCUGUCCUUAAAAUGUCCUUUUAAAAGCUGGAAAUUUAUCAUUUUAGCUCACAGUAUAUUGUUGCAACCCACUUAGAAACCUUUGAAUCUUAGAAACCGUUGAAGAGCAAUGGGGGAUUAAGAAAGACAAACACUUAUAGAGCGAAAGCUGGGACCAGGUGGGACACCAUCCUCAGAUGGAGGAACAAUGACCCAGAGCCAGCUCAGCACAUUCAUUAUAUAGGUUUUAUCAUCAAAACCUGUGAGAAAGUUUCUGUGAGAAAAUUUCUUCAAAGCAGGCAGUCUUGAAGGUCUAAGUACUGGCAAGCAAUUAUAAUUAUCUUGUUGCACUAGUAAUUCUCUAUCUCUACCAGCUGGUGUCUGAACUCAGGGUCAAGACUGAUAGUUCCAUGACUUGCAUAGGACCUCCUCAGGCAGGACAUCACAUGGUAACUGGGCAAUUUUGUCCUGUACCUUUUGCACAGGAAGUUCCCAGCAUAAGUGCAGUAAUAGCCAUGAGGCAGAGACCAUGAUCCAAGUCACCACUCUCCACGGGGCAUAAAGUGUAAUUGCUUUAAGGGAUGAUGUGAACACCCAGACAGUCCUUGCGCACGUUAGGAGCAGAGACCAGCCUGCAUGACUACUUUGUCAUAGCCCUGCCACUGCCAGUGCUGAGCACCUCUGCAAACCCUGUGCUGAGAAGACUCCUAGCCUGGAGGCAGGAGCAGCAGCACCACUGUGCAGAGGCUAGGAAGCAGGACCCUAGGGUGACCAGCCUGGACACUGCAAAAGCCUGAGGGCAUCUAGGUGUGUAUGUGUGUGCCACCCCAACCCUCCUCUCACCCUGUGCAGAAAACGCAUCCUUGACUGCUCUGGAAAUUGAGCAGCUCGGAGUGAGGUGAUAGAGACCAGCAGAACAGGCAAGUGUCCUGCAGCCUGAGGUAAAAUGUGGCUCUGUGCCUUGUGUGCUGCUGGUGGGAGGAGCAGUGUGUGGUGCUCUGGGAGGCCAUGCCUCCUGAGGCUCCCAGUCACCACGGACACAGUAGCCCACAGUAGCCCAGGUGUUACCUGAGACAAAAGCCUGUGUCCACACAGUGCAAAUACUGUAGUGUUGACAGUAGCCAAGAUCUGGGACCAUCCGAAGCAUCCUCUUGGUGAAUGAUGAGCCAGGUGCAGUGUAUCUGUACCAGGAGCGUCGUGAGCUAUGAAGAUGAAGUAUGGGAUGAACCAUGGAGAUGUGUUCAGGCAGUGGUGAUAGUCACAUAGCUCUGCAGGUGAAGUGGAAGCCGCUGCACAGUUGGGGAGCAUGUCGCUUUCAUUUCAUGACCCUGCUAAAGAUGGCAUUGUGCCCCCAGGCUGGGCCUUGCACUGAGGCCAGUGUCCCAGCCCCUCUGGGCUGUAGUUCCUAGCUGGGCCCCACCCUCCAGCCUUGCUCUCCUCAGUACUUCUAGUAGCUGUGUCUGGUGGCCUACCUCUCAUUUCCCCGUUUAUCCUGUCUUGGUGGUGCUUUGGGGGAAGAUGGGGAGACAGGUGUGGCUCGCUCUUCUCUGUUCCUUUUCAAGUUGAUGGCAGCACCCUGCCCAUCUGUCUUGCUUGUACUGGUGCACCUCUGUCUGUCGCUGCUCUCUGUCUUCUCCCUUCCCGCUGCCCACAGCAUGCAUGACUCUUCAUCCUGGCCGCUCCUGCAGCGAAGCCGUCUGGCUGGGCUCACAGACUGGCUCAGCUUGGCUUCCACAUGAGAGCCACACCCUGGGAGGUGUGCAGAGUCAGACUGCCGUCCUCAUGCCCCCUCCUCCCCCUUGGCACUGCUAGUGGGAUGUCUGGUCCUGCAGGGCGUGCUCCUUUCAGCCAGGGGGAGCAGUGCCUUCCACCUGACCCAUCACCACACCACCUUCAGUGGGACCUGGGGGAGUCCUGUGCUGUGAGCUCACUGUGCAGGGAACGGGUGCCCUGGAGAGGCACCUGGGAUUCUCCUAUCACUCUAUCCAGGCUAUGGGCAGGAAUGGCCCUGGGCCCGUGGCGAGACACAGGAAGUUCUUGUUCAGGAAGGACAAGGGCAGGAUGUAGGCUUUCAAGCUCACUCCUUCCUCUUCUGCCUGCCUUUCAUUCUUGUCUUGCACACAUGACCCUUCCCUCUGCUCCACAACCUGCUGGCCCCCACUACCAGUCCCCAAUCCCCAGAGGAGACGAGUCCCAUCUGAGGCCAGCCUGGCUGGGCUUGUCCGGGAAGCAAAGACUCAAAACCUGCCUCUGACCUGAACGCACAGGAUCCUGAGGUGGCUCAAGGCCUUCUCCGGCAUGGUCGGGCAACUUUUAUCGUGUUCCUAGUGCCCUGUGCUCUGGGGUCAGUUGAGUGCUUCAGGGCUUCCUCUCCCAUUCUCUGCCGCCAGGCUCCCAUACCACCUCUCGCUUUUCCUUCUGCCUGCCUCAAGAAUAGUGGAUUUACAUUUUCUAAGUGGACAAUACAGUUGGAUGGUAGCCUGUGGAGGAGCCCCACCCACCAGGCAUAGCACCUGCCCUGUCACGCUUGCAAAGGCCAGCACAGAAAGGACUGCACGUCUCUGGCUUGCCCAGCUGUGGGCUCAGGACUUUGAGCCCUGCUGGUCAGUAUAUCCUGACUGCCAGUGUCCACUGACAAUGGCCGUAUGCCCACCCUGGGUCCUGCAGUUGGGCGCUCUGCCCCAGAGCCGAGCGUUUGCAGUAGUAGUGGUCGGCGGCCCGUUGUCCAUGUGGCCUAGGCAAGCAUCCCUGCACUCCCAUUGCCUUUUCAUCUCUCAGUGGCAUCUUUUGAGGAAUAAGAAGUUUUUCAAUUUAACAAAACCCAAUUAUUCAUCUUUUCCUUUAUAGUUAAUGUUUUUGCACCCCAUUUAAGAAGUCCUUGUCAGGCUGGGAUGUAGCUCAGUGGCAAAGCCCUGGGUUCGACCCCCAGAGUUCCAAAAAAAAGAACUUCACAAAAAAAAAAAAAA